rnacentral:tRNA from 1 species
GCUGGCGUAGCUCAAUUGGUAGAGCGCCUGUUUUGUAAACAGGUGGUUGCAGGUUCAAGUCCCGUCGCUAGCU